CAAUACGGAAGAGAACGCUGAGAUGACGGAUAUACAUGUGAAGAGAAUGAGGAUCUGCUUACAAGCUGAGGAAUCAAUGAUGAAGACCUGGUGCUCGGACAAGAUGAGAAAGAGAAGACAACAGAGAAGAUGUCACUCAGGUUCUCGCAUAGAAAAAAGUGGAUCCUGUUUCUUUUUGUUGCCAUAACUGUGGUGUUACCAUCUGGAUCGCACUCCUAAACAGGACAAGAAAAAGGAACCAACAUACUUUGUGUCUUCGUCCUU